rnacentral:tRNA from 1 species
GCCUAGGUGGCUGAGUUGGUUAAGCAUCUGACUUUGGCUCAGGUCAUGAUCUCACAGUUUGUGAGUUUCAGCCCCACAUUGGGCU